GGGGAGCAGCCAGGGCCUCAUGAGCUGGUGCCUCAGCGCCCGUAAUGGUUUGUCAGGGGUCAGGUUGAUUAACUGAGGUGGGAUUCCAGGGGUGGGUUGAGGCCCUCACUUCUCAUGGGAGUGACAAGACACAGGAAAACUCUCUUUAUGUUUCCCUGACUCCCAUGAUCUUUACUUCUUUCUUGACUUGCUUUUCCUUUGUCUUUGCAAAACCGGACUUCCCUGUUACUGCUCACAGAUGCGUAUUUUCACCCUUAGGAAAGGCCAUGGCACAAUAGAAGGCGUGGACAAUACUGGCAGGGGAGCUAGAGCCCUCCUGUCUGAGUCCUAUGGAGCCCAGUCCAACCCCCGCGGAAAGAAAGCCUUCCUGAAACAUCCUGUGGUCAUCUCCUCUGUUCCCAGUGGCUAAAGCACCCCGAGGGCCCUCCCUGAGUCACCCCAACUUUGGGUGCUCCAGGUCAAUGGACAUCAGCCGUUUUCUCAGUUGCGUGAA
rnacentral:lncRNA from 1 species